GGACUACAGGGGUAUCUAAUCCCGUUCGCUCCCCUGGCUUUCGCGCCUCAGCGUCAGCAGAGGUCCAGCACGCCGCUUUCGCCACCGGCGUUCCUUCCGAUAUCUACGCAUUUCACCGCUCCACCGGAAGUUCCGCAUGCCCCUACCUCCCUCGAGGCGGCCAGUAUCGGAGGCACUUUUCCGGUUGAGCCGAAAGAUUUCACCCCCGACUGGGCCGCCCGCCUACGCGCCCUUUAAGCCCAGUGAAUCCGAACAACGUUCGCACGGUUCGUCUUACCGCGGCUGCUGGCAC
rnacentral:rRNA from 2 species